UUUCUCUUAUGCUUUAUCAUCGUUAUCGACGUCUAUCCACUUUGUACUAGGUGGAAAUCAACGAAACUCCACAAACGCUUCUCCAUCCCUGGUUACAUGGUCUGUCACUUCUGAGUCUACAAUUCACAUAGGAUAUGAUUCAAUUAGCCUAACAGUUCUUGAAAUAUAAAUGACACUAAAAGAAGUAUUUAUAAGAGUUACCUUCUUUGGCUCAGAACAUUCCCAAGCAAAGUGACUCAGCACUUAACAAUUGAAGCAUUCCAGCUUGCUCUUAUCUUUCUUGUUUCCA
rnacentral:lncRNA from 1 species